CACGUAGGGUGCGAGCGUUGUCCGGAAUUAUUGGGCGUAAAGAGCUCGUAGGCGGUGUGUCGCGUCGGCCGUGAAAACCUGCAGCUUAACUGUGGGCUUGCGGUCGAUACGGGCAGGCUAGAGUCCGGUAGGGGAGACUGGAAUUCCUGGUGUAGCGGUGAAAUGCGCAGAUAUCAGGAGGAACACCGGUGGCGAAGGCGGCAUCCUGGACCAUUACUGACACUGAAAAGCGAAAGCCAGGGGAGCAAACGGG
rnacentral:rRNA from 1 species